GGGGAUUUAGCUCAGUGGUAGAGUGCUUGCCUAGCAAGUGCGCAAGGCCCUGGGUUCGGUCCCCAGCUCCG
rfam:Rattus norvegicus chromosome 19, whole genome shotgun sequence.